rnacentral:rRNA from 1 species
UACGUAGGUCCCGAGCGUUGUCCGGAUUUAUUGGGCGUAAAGAGCUCGUAGGCGGUCUGUCGCGUCGGCUGUGAAAUCUCGGGGCUCAACCCCGAGCCUGCAGUCGAUACGGGCAGACUAGAGUGCUGUAGGGGAGACUGGAAUUCCUGGUGUAGCGGUGAAAUGCGCAGAUAUCAGGAGGAACACCGGUGGCGAAGGCGGGUCUCUGGGCAGUAACUGACGCUGAGGAGCGAAAGCGUGGGGAGCGAACAGG